CUACAGAUUUCCUGCCACCCAGGCAGCUUGGAUUUUAGGAAGUCCGCACACUGCAUCCAAGUUUAAAAGCUCAGCCUGAGACUUCUCUAAAGAAUCUAAUUUGCUUCUGUGUUCAGUUUGGUACCUCUUUAAAGUUGCCUGCAAUCAAAGCAUUUAAAACAUCUCAUGAUGCACUCAGCCAUGUAACUGGACUCCCUGUAUGCUGUGCAUCAGGCAAAAGCCAUUUUAUGCUGGAACCUCCUUACUGCCACUGGUAAUCCACAGGCACUGCUCUCAGGCUUAUUUCUUUGCCAACAGACAUAUCUGGGGGUGGCGGUGAAGAAAAACUAUGAUUGCUAAGCAUCAGCUGAGAGAGAACGGCCUCCUGCCUGCUAUACUAGCCCCAGCACCUUGCGAUUGUACUAUGUUUGGAUGAUACAAUGAGGUGAAAAAGCAGCACCGGGGAUUUCUGACUCCUAUGAAGUCUUGCCAUCUAUGGAUGGCUUAUGAGCCAACUGUCCUGACUGUGGUUAAAUUGGUACAGCAUACAUCUGAAAAGUCUGUGGAUGGAUGAAAAAUAGAAGACUUGGAAGAGGAGA